rnacentral:misc_RNA from 1 species
GAUGAAGAACGCAGCGAAACGCGAUAAGUAAUGUGAAUUGCAGAAUCCAGUGAAUCAUCGAAUCUUUGAACGCACAUUGCGCCCCCCAGCAUUCUGGCGGGCAUGCCUGUUCGAGCGUCAUUUCAACCCUCGACCUCCCCUUGGGGAGGUCGGCGUUGGGGACCGGCAGCACACCGCCGGCCCUGAAAUGGAGUGGCGGCCCGUCCGCGGCGACCUCUGCGCAGUAAUACAGCUCGCACCGGGACCCCGACGCGGCCACGCCGUAAAACACCCAACUUCUGAACGUUGACCUCGAAUCAGGUAGGACUACCCGCUGAACUUAAGCAUAUCAAUAAGCGGAGGA